rnacentral:rRNA from 1 species
GAGUUUGAUCAUGGCUCAGAUUGAACGCUGGCGGUAGGCUUAACACAUGCAAGUCGUGCGAGAAAGUAUCUUCGGAUAUGAGUAGAGCGGCGGACGGGUGAGUAACGCGUAGGAAUCUACCUAGUAGAAGGGGAUAGCCCGGGGAAACCCGGAUUAAUACCGUAUACCUCCUUCGGGAGAAAGAAGGCCUCUCUUUGAAGCUUUCGCUACUAGAUGAGCCUGCGUAAGAUUAGCUUGUUGGUGAGGUAAAGGCUCACCAAGGCGACGAUCUUUAGCUGGUCUGAGAGGACGAUCAGCCACAUUGGGACUGAGACACGGCCCAGACUCCUACGGGAGGCAGCAGUGGGGAAUAUUGGACAAUGGGCGCAAGCCUGAUCCAGCCAUACCGCGUGUGUGAAGAAGGCCUUCGGGUUGUAAAGCACUUUAAGCAGGGAGAAAAAGUUAUAAGCUAAUAUCUUAUAACCUUGAUGUUACCUGCAGAAUAAGCACCGGCUAAUUCCGUGCCAGCAGCCGCGGUAAUACGGAAGGUGCAAGCGUUAAUCGGAAUUACUGGGCGUAAAGCGCGCGUAGGUGGUUUGUUAAGUUGGAUGUGAAAGCCCUGGGCUCAACCUAGGAACUGCAUCCAAAACUAACUCACUAGAGUACGAUAGAGGGAGGUAGAAUUCAUAGUGUAGCGGUGGAAUGCGUAGAUAUAUGAAGAAUACCAGUGGCGAAGGCGGCCUCCUGGAUCUGUACUGACACUGAGGUGCGAAAGCGUGGGUAGCGAACAGGAUUAGAUACCCUGGUAGUCCACGCCGUAAACGAUGACAACUAGCUGUUAGAAGACUAUGUCUUUUAGUGGCGCAGCUAACGUUUUAAGUUGUCCGCCUGGGGAGUACGGUCGCAAGAUUAAAACUCAAAGGAAUUGACGGGGGCCCGCACAAGCGGUGGAUUAUGUGGAUUAAUUCGAUGCAACGCGAAAAACCUUACCUGGCCUUGACAUGUACCGAAUUUAGCAGAGAUGCUUUAGUGCUCGAAAGAGAACGGUAACACAGGUGCUGCAUGGCUGUCGUCAGCUCGUGUCGUGAGAUGUUGGGUUAAGUCCCGCAACGAGCGCAACCCUUGCCAUUAAUUGCCAUCAUUUAGUUGGGCACUUUAAUGGGACUGCCGGUGACAAACCGGAGGAAGGUGGGGAUGAUGUCAAGUCCUCAUGGCCCUUAUGGCCAGGGCUUCACACGUAAUACAAUGGUCGGUACAGAGGGACGCCAACCCGCGAGGGGGAGCCAAUCCCAGAAAGCCGAUCGUAGUCCGGAUUGUUGUCUGCAACUCGACAGCAUGAAGUCGGAAUCGCUAGUAAUCGCGGAUCAGAAUGUCGCGGUGAAUACGUUCCCGGGCCUUGUACACACCGCCCGUCACACCAUGGGAGUGGGUUUUACCAGAAGUAGUUAGUCUGACCGCAAGGGGGACGAUUACCACGGUAGGAUUCAUGACUGGGGUGAAGUCGUAACAAGGUAACC